CAGGACAAGAUUUGAGGAACCCUGACCUACACUAAACCAUAUACUAAAUAUAACCUAGUGUUAACAAAACAAUUUGUGACAUAAAAACAUUUUCAGUGGCAAAAAUGCUUUAUUUAGCUUCCUUCUACAAGUCUUUGACCUAUUUUAUUGUGACUCGUGUUUCAUAGAUGAGUGAUCUGCAUCUCAAGUGCACUGCUACACCAGUGGUGUAGCGCCAAGGCAUGCAGGGAAUGCAGGGCAUGCAGGUGCAUAUGGCCCCAGGCAGUCUCGGGGCCUAAUGAGCUGGGGGGAACUUUUAAUUGAAAUGAGGGAACAAAUAGAGCCCUUCAUCGGCCGGGCCCUUGUCCAACAACUUAUGUGAAUUCUCGGCCCAAGUCCGACUGGAUACCUUGACUUCUUUUCUCUCUCUUCCCCAUUACACAGUUAUUAAAAUAAUGAAGUCUGGGUUUUUAAUGAUAAA